GGUGGAUUGAUUUGUCUGGUUUAUUCCGAAUAACGAGCGAGACUCUAAUUUGCUAAAUAGAAACCGUAUCUUUUUUAGAUGCGAUAUCUUCUUAGAGAGACAGACAACGUUUAGUUGUACGAGAUUGAGCAAUAACAGGUCUGUGAUGCCCUUAGAUGUCCGGGGCUGCACGCGCGCUACACUGUAGAAAUCAGCGUGUUUAUUCCAUUUUCGAGAGGAAUUGGUAAUCCUAUGAAAACUCUACGUGCUUGGGAUAGUGAAUUGCUAUUAUUUCACUUAAACGAGGAAUUCCUAGUAAGUGCAAGUCAUCAACUUGCGUUGAAUACGUCCCUGCCCUUUGUAC
rnacentral:rRNA from 1 species